ensembl:rRNA 5S_rRNA 5S ribosomal RNA
UAUCACAACCAUAUCACCCUGAAGCCUAAGACCGGUUACUCACUGAAGCUACGCAGUGCUGAGCCUGGUCAGUACCUGGAUGGGAAACCACAUGGGUAAACUAGGUAGCUGUUGAAA